rnacentral:rRNA from 1 species
AUCAACGCUGGCGGCGUGCCUCAGACAUGCAAGUCGAACGAUUAAAGCUCCCUUCGGGGAGUGCAUAGUAGUGGCGCACGGGAUGAGAUAACACGUAAGUAAUCUACCUUUGAGUGGGGAAUACCGUCCGGAAACGGACGCUAAUACCGCAUAAUGCAGCGGCAUCGCAAAGAUGACAGUUGUUAAGAGAUUUAUCGCUUGAAGAGGAGCGUUGCGGCAGAUUAGCUAGUUGGGUAAGGUAAUGGCUUACCAAGGCUACGAUCUGUAACCGGUCUAAGAGGACGGUCGGUCACACUGACACUGAAUAACGGGGUCAGACUCCUACGGGAGGCAGCAGUCGGAUUUUGGGCAAUGGGCGAAAGCCUGACCCGGCAACGCCGCGUGAAGGAUGAAGUAUUUCGGUAUGUAAACUUCGAAAGAAUGGGAAGAAUAAAUGACGGUACCAUUUAUAAGGUCCGGCUAACUACGUGCCAGCAGCCGCGGUAAUACGUAGGGACCAAGCGUUGUUCGGAUUUACUGGGCGUAAAGGGCGCGUAGGCGGCUUGACAAGUCACUUGUGAAAUCUCCGGGCUUAACUCGGAACGGCCAAGUGAAACUGUCAUGCUAGAGUGCAGAAGGGGCAAUCGGAAUUCUUGGUGUAGCGGUGAAAUGCGUAGAUAUCAAGGAGGAAACACCUGUAGGCUGAAGACGGGCUGCACUGGACCUGACACUGACGCUGAGGGCGCGAAAGCUAGGGGAGCAAACAGGGAUUAGAUACCCUGGUAGUUCCUGGCCCUAAACGAUGAAUUACUUGGUGUAUUGGGUACCAAUCCCCAAUGUGCCGAAGCUAACGCGAAUGGCAAUCCGCCUGGGGGAAGUACGGUCACAAGACUGAAACUCAAAGGAAUUGACGGGGCCCGCACAAGCGGCGGAGCAUGUGGUUCAAUUCGACGCAACGCGAAGAACCUUACCUGGGCUCGAAAUGCAAGUGGAUCGGGGUGGAAACAUCCUUCCCGCAAGGGCUGCUGCAUAGGUGCUGCAUGGCUGUCGUCAGCUCGUGUCGUGAGAUGUUGGGUUAAGUCCCGCAACGAGCGCAACCCUUAUUGCCAGUUGCCAUCAUUCAGUUGGGCACUCAGGCGAAACUGCCCCGGAUAACGGGGAGGAAGGUGGGGAUGACGUCAAGUCCUCAUGGCCUUUAUGUCCAGGCUACACACGUGCUACAAUGGUCGAUACAAACCGUCGCAAGAACCCGCGAGGGGGAGCUAAUCGGAAAAAGUUGGCCUCAGUUCGGAUUGGAGUCUGCAACUCGACUCCAUGAAGCCUGGAAUCGCUAGUAAUCGCGGAUCAGAACCCGCGGAUGAAUACGUUCCCGGGCUUGUACGCACCGCCCGUCACAUCACGAAAGAGGGCUGUACUAGAAGCAGGUGGGCCACCGCAAGGGGCAGCCUUCCAAGGUAUAACUCAUGAUUGGGGUC